UGAACGGAACAGGAGCUGGCACAGUUCCGAUCGAACACAAUGGAGUGGAAAUUAAGCCCGGGUCACCACUGCCGGGACGCCAGAGACCCGCCAGUGCUAGCAAUUUGCACAGACACAGACUCCAGCCCUGGGUUAGCUACAGAGCCCAAGUCCUCCGCGCCUUCCCCAGGCCCCGCCCACCCAGGUUCAGUUCCCGGCGUUGCCACUAGGGGCGGCCGCGGUCUCUGCAGCGCCUGUAGCCACGAAGCUGGUGGUCCGGGUUUCCAGCCGAGCCGCUUUUCCAGAGGGGCCGCAACAUGGCUGCGCACAGGGCUGCGAGUCGGGAAGUCGCCGCGUUCUGGUUUCCCUGACAGCCCCCGGCUUCUGUGCGCGCCUUGCCUCCCCCAGGUCACUCCAGCAGACAUGUUUGCCAAGGCCUUUCGGGUCAAGUCCAACACGGCCAUCAAGGGGCCGGACAGGAGAAAGCUUCGGGCUGAUGUGGCGGCUGCUUUCCCCACUCUUGGAACAGAUCAGGUCUCUGCCUUAGUACCUGGAAAGGAAGAGCUCAACGUUGUGAAGUUAUAUGCUCACAGGGGGGAUGCGGUGACUGUGUAUGUGUGUGCUGGUAACCCCAUCCUGUUUGAACUGGAGAAAAAUCUAUACCCAACAGUUCCCUCAGAGAUUGACCUUUUGGUAAUAAGUCUUCCUGUGUCUCUUUGUGGGCCGUGUACACCUGUGGUCCUAUCCUGAUCUCCCAACGUUCACAACAUGGCCUCUGGUGCUCGAAAAACUGAUGGGAGGAGCAGAUUUGAUGCUGCCCGGCCUUGUGGUGCCCCCUGCUGGUCUGCCUCAGAAGAGGUCAUGAGAACACACAGCCGGUUGGAGGCAACCUGUAGCAGCCAGGAAGAGAAAUCUCUUAGGAAACUGACAUGUUGGCAUCCUGACCAUGUUGGCAAACUGAACGUCUGGUUUCCAGAAUACUGAAAACCUAAGUGUCUGUUGUUGAAGCCGCUGUCUAUGGUAUUUUGUUAUGGUGGCAUCAGUGCCUAAUAAUCUGCCCUUGGGAAACAAACCAGUUAACACAGUCUUAGGUGAAUAGGACUCACGCUAGGAGACAUUCACACAUAGCAUCACUAUCACAGCUUAUGAGAGGAAAAGUUAGCUGAGGUCAUGAAUUCAGGGAAAGUACAUAUUCUGUAGAAUAUUAUGCCUAAGCAAAAUCUCAAAUGGUGAACAAGGAUCAACCAGGACCAAAAGUUAGGAAGGAACGUUUCAUCAGAAGAAAUAGCAUAAGCAGGAACGUGAGUAUUGGCAACAAAUCCACACUGGUGACCGGUAUCUGUGAUGGGCGGGAGUCUAAGACAACCUCUCUAAGAUUUUCACUUUAUUCUCUUCGUUCCAGAAAGAAAUGUAAGCAUGAUGAGAUAUCAGUGCUAUGAUGAGGUGAUUAGUCAAUUGACUUUGAGUUCAUCUGGGCAUAUCUGACUAACCAGAAAAGCCCUUAGCUGGAUCCAGAGCCAUCCUGAAGAGAGACUGAGGUGUGAGAGGGCCUGCGGAGGAGGUCCCCGGGGAGGGAACUGAGAAGAGCCUGAAAGAGGUCAGAGCCAUCCCCGGCCAUGAGCCCGCAAGAGAACGAGACCUCAGUCCUACCAUUGCAAGAAACUGAAUACUGUCAGCAGCCCUGUGAGCUUGAGAGAGGACACCGACCUGCAGAAGAAACACACAGGCCAACCAACACCUCGAUUUCAAUCUUGUGACAAGUUGACCAGAGGACCCAGAUUCCUGACCCAAAGAUAAUCAGUCUCUGCUGUUUUAUGCAGCCAACUUUGGUAACUUAGGUACCAGUAGAAGCUACUACAUUCGUAAAGAUCAUAAAACAUGAAACUAAAAGAAACUAGAUAUAAGAGAGGUAGAUAGGAUUUUGUGAAUCUUCUGAAGCUUUUAAAGGAAACAUGGGCUUCAUUUUGUGGAUCAUGGAGAUACUUCUGCGUGGUUACAAGUGAGGGUUCGGGGGUUAGAUUUCAACUGUGCAAGGUUGUUCUGGCUGCAGUUUAGAGGAUAGAUAUGUAGGAGUUACAACGCCCAUAUAUGAGGCUGCUGCUCUGGCCUGGCAGGUACCUGAAGAGAGCUUGGGGAGAGCCGAAGUGGUCAGAGUGAAGUGAAUGUAUUAAACAAAAUUAACAUGUGAGGUGACAGGCAUGGACAUUAUACAGGUGUCGAAGAUGAACAAAAAAUUGUCUAGAAUGAUUCUGAGAUUUCAACUGUGUAUGUCCUGGUGAAUGGUGAGCUGUAACCGUUAAUGGAAACACAUCUGGUAUAGAUUUGACUUGGUGAAUGAGACAAAAUGAUGAAUUAAAUUAUGUUACUGUAUUUGGGGUGUCUACAGAAGAAAAUGAAGAUUUAUGAAGAAUAAAUGAUGUCCCAUAUCUGUA